rnacentral:rRNA from 1 species
GUCGAAACCUGCACAGCAGAACGACCCGCGAACACGUUACAACACCGGGUGAGCGACGAAGGGUGCGCAAGCUCCCCAAG